GACAGAGGAUGCAAGCGUUAUCCGGAAUGAUUGGGCGUAAAGAGUUCGUAGGCGGCGCAGAAAGUAGGGUGUGAAAGCCCUCGGCUCAACCGAGGAAUUGCGCUCUAAACUACUGUGCUUGAGGAAGCUAGAGGUGAGCGGAACUGAUGGUGGAGCGGUGAAAUGCGUAGAUAUCUGAAAGAACACCAGUGGCGAAGGCGGUCAGCUGGUCCGUUACUGACACUAAAGCACGAAAGCGUGGGUAGCAAACAGG
rnacentral:rRNA from 1 species